ACAGCUAGAAGUCCAAAUCUCGGCUGCUAAAGAGGAAGCUUUCAGCAGGAAAGAUGUUCUUGAAAGAGUAGAGAAAUGGUUGGCUGUGUGCGAAGAGGAGAACUGGUUGGAAGAGUACAAUAGGGAUGGGAACCGCUACGGUGCAGGAAAAGGUGCUCACCUGAUGCUUAGGCGUGCUGAAAAGGCACGAACUUUAGUAAGCAAAAUCCCAGGUUAGCAUUCUGUACCAAUGCAAGCUCUCGAUGCAAGUAAAUGAAUCCAAUGCAUUCCCCUGUUGUUUUUACAUAUCGAGCAGCAAUGGUCGAUGCUCUGAUAAACAAAGUAACUGCAUGGGAGAAGGAAAGGGGCGAUGACUUCAUUUAUGACGGUCUCUCUUUGCUGUCAAUGCUGGAAGACUACACCAUUAUGAGCCAAGAGAAAGAGCAAGAACGCAAAAGGAAAAGAG